AUUUCUUUGCAUGGUAGAAUGCAAGUCAAUUUAUUCUCAUCUGAGAUGCCUCCCUCACCCUCAUGCUCUGCCCCAAGGUGGCUGAAAUUGUUUGAAAGCCAAAAAUGCUUAGGCUAACAUAUUUGCAGAUUUUUCAUAACAUUGCUUUCCCAAAGCUCUGGAAUACUUGCACAUGUUGGCUUGGUGAUUUUUUUUUCCCCUUCUGCAAAGGAUAACAUCUUGGCUGUAGACAAGGUAUCAUAAAAAAAGACUUGCUUUGAGAGUAACACUGGAAAAAAGAAAAAGAAAGUGUACAUUUGCUUAGAUUGAGAAGACAGCUUCUGGUAGAAAGGAAGGUGACCAGAAAGGGAAGUGCACCCCUGGAGAUGGACUGUGCAGCAGUAAAAGAACAAAAUCAAAUCUUUUUGCCGAAAGGGAAGAGACAAAGCCAUAUGAGAAGGAUAUCUGAUUCAGAAGGAUACAUGGAAAAGAUUCAGAACAGCAUGGCCUGAUCGGAGGUCCAGUUGUGCCCAUCACAUUUUGCUGCUAACUUCAGAUGAAAGUGAUGCUUUCCUACUAGAAUCUCAGGC